rnacentral:rRNA from 2 species
AUGUGACCUCAAAUCAGGUAGGACUACCCGCUGAACUUAAGCAUAUCAAUAAGCGGAGGAAAAGAAACUAACAAGGAUUCCCCUAGUAACUGCGAGUGAAGCGGGAAAAGCUCAAAUUUAAAAUCUGGCGGUCUUUGGCUGUCCGAGUUGUAAUCUAGAGAAGUGUUAUCCGCGUUGGACCGUGUACAAGUCUCCUGGAAUGGAGCGUCAUAGAGGGUGAGAAUCCCGUCUUUGACACGGACUGCCAGGGCUUUGUGAUGCGCUCUCAAAGAGUCGAGUUGUUUGGGAAUGCAGCUCAAAAUGGGUGGUAAAUUCCAUCUAAAGCUAAAUAUUGGCGAGAGACCGAUAGCGAACAAGUACCGUGAGGGAAAGAUGAAAAGAACUUUGGAAAGAGAGUUAAACAGUACGUGAAAUUGCUGAAAGGGAAACGCUUGAAGUCAGUCGCGUUGACCAGGGAUCAACCUUGCUUUUGCUUGGUGCACUUUCUGGUUAACGGGUCAGCAUCAAUUUUGACCAUUGGAAAAAGGUCAGGGGAAUGUGGCAUCUUCAGAUGUGUUUAUAGCCCUUGGUUGCAUACAAUGGUUGGGAUUGAGGAACUCAGCACGCCGAAAGGCCGGGUUUUUAAACCACGUACGUGCUUAGGAUGCUGGCAUAAUGGCUUUAAUCGACCCGUCUUGAAACACGGACCAAGGAGUCUAACAUGCCUGCGAGUGUUUGGGUGGAAAACCCGAGCGCGCAAUGAAAGUGAAAGUUGAGAUCCCUGUCGUGGGGAGCAUCGACGCCCGGACCAGACCUUUUGUGACGGUUCCGCGGUAGAGCAUGUAUGUUGGGACCCGAAAGAUGGUGAACUAUGCCUGAAUAGGGUGAAGCCAGAGGAAACUCUGGUGGAGGCUCGUAGCGAUUCUGACGUGCAAAUCGAUCGUCAAAUUUGGGUAUAGGGGCGAAAGACUAAUCGAACCAUCUAGUAGCUGGUUCCUGCCGAA